rnacentral:snRNA from 1 species
GUGCUCCCUUUGGUAGCAUAUAUACUAAAAUUGGAGCAAUACAAAGGUGAUUAUCAUGACCUCUGUGCAAGAAUGAUGUGUAAAUUCAUGAAGCACACUAUACUUUU